UUGACAGGCCUGAAGUCCUAUGUUUUUUCACAAAAAAGAUAAUACAAAAACUUGCCCACACUUCCUCACUAAUAUGCCUCAGCUUGACCUGGAGGGACCACCUCAGAGUGACUGGGUGCACCUAGCCAAUCCUUGAGACUACC
rnacentral:sRNA from 1 species